UAGGGAAUCUUCCGCAAUGGACGAAAGUCUGACGGAGCAACGCCGCGUGAGUGAUGAAGGUUUUCGGAUCGUAAAACUCUGUUGUUAGGGAAGAACAAGUUGGGUAGUAACUGACCCAACCUUGACGGUACCUAACCAGAAAGCCACGGCUAACUACGUGCCAGCAGCCGCGGUAAUACGUAGGUGGCAAGCGUUGUCCGGAAUUAUUGGGCGUAAAGCGCUCGCAGGCGGUCUUUUAAGUCUGAUGUGAAAGCCCACGGCUUAACCGUGGGGGGUCAUUGGAAACUGGAGGACUUGAGUACAGAAGAGGAGAGUGGAAUUCCACGUGUAGCGGUGAAAUGCGUAGAAAUGUGGAGGAACACCAGUGGCGAAGGCGACUCUCUGGUCUGUAACUGACGCUGAGGAGCGAAAGCGUGGGUAGCGAACAGG
rnacentral:rRNA from 1 species